UCUCAAGCAAAAACUCUCUAGAGUUUCCGUUCUGCAAAUCAAUUGAACGUGUUGCUUCGUAUCCUGAUUUAUUCGGACGAGCCUUGUGGUUCGCUCAGCCGGCAUGUGUGGGCAUAAACCUUAGGCCAGGAACUGUGCCAGGUCUGGCUGUACCACGGAUUGUCGCCGGAAGCAGACGGCCCGCGUGUCAAGGGCCCCGGGCCAGAGGGGACACUCAUCAGACGCCCGCCUCCUCACUCAUUGCAGACAACCCCACCCGCAUCAUCAACAGUUGUCUCUGAUGCACUUUGGAAUCAACUGCCAUGCAGGGACUUCCGAUCUAGUUGGAAAGACUCCAGGACAGGCCACUGAGAAGAGCCCUCCUCGACUUUGCACAGAGGAGAGGAAGGGGGGACACUUUCGAAGCAGAUAAACGCUUGCGUGGAGCCUGAUGAUGCCAGAGCCCGAGUUCGGGCAAAAAGGGUGGCCAAGCGUCUAAAAAUUGGAGAAAAGGCUGACACGUAAGGGAACACAAAACAGUGAAAGAGCUAGAGGAUAUUGGGUGGCGGAAACCCCCAUCCCUGCGCCACCAGCCCGGUCAGCUCAGUCAGCAACGUCCGCUGGGCCGGCAGAGCCAAAAUGGCUCCUUCAGGCUACAGGGUAGGGAUGCUCCCAAGUCUUUGGACCAAAAGCCACAUCUUAGACUUCUGGACGCUUUCACACUGAGUGCUAGGUUUGUUUUUCUGACAUUUUAUGAAAAAUUGCAAAUAUAGGGGCAAAUAUAGGGGUGGCUCAGCUUAAGCGUCCGACUUGGGCUCAGGUGGAGAUCUCACGGGUGUGGGUUCGGGCCCUUCAUCGGGCUCUGUGCUGACAGAUUGGAGCCUGCUUCGGAUUCUGUCUCCCCCUCUCUUUUUCUCUCUCUCUGCCCCUCCCCUGCUCGUGCUCUCUG